GCAACUUUCAGAUUUAUCGUCAGAUGGUCAAAAUGUCACCGCGAAACAUUGGACGGAUGAAAUAGAUAAUGCUAAUGAUGGUGUUUUGAGUAACACACGUUUUAAUCACAAGCGAGAUCAUAUAGUCUGCAACCAGUGUUGCCCUACUGGCAACAUGUGAAAUGUACAUAUGUGUGGAAGCAAAGGCUACUCAACAUAACGUGGUCCUCUUUGCUACGCAUGCCUACAACAGCAAGGACAAUCGACAUGUCCCAGAAUACAAGUGUGCGGGCAAGACGAGGCUUGCUUCAUUGAGGAUUUGAGCAUCGCUGGACAGGCAGUAUUUCAUAUUGGAUGUUAUGGGCUUCGUAAAUGCGCAGCUGACCAGAGGUUUAUUGAAACUCAUGCACUUAUCGGACGACGUUCUAUGCAACAACCAAAUGCCACCGACGAUAAUGGUCCCGAUCAUUCGGAAGAUGUGCCCCCAUCAACAAGACGGUGCUGUCGAACGGAUUUCUGUAGUAAAUAUGAAAUAUUUAAAAGGGACCUUUUCACGUGUUGGCAAAUUGACAAAAAUUAAAAGGAUGUUUCAGAAUCGCAAAUGUUCGUUGUAGUUAUGAUAUUUGUGAGGAUACAAAAAUACCUGAACAUUUAUCAUGCUCUAAAAUAUCCAUAUUAUACAUCUUUUGACGAU